AGUGACAACGCCAAAGAAAAGGACUACAUUUCCCAGAAUGCACCUGCACCCACUCAUCUGCCCCACCCUUCAGGUGCGACCGCUUCACCUAUGGGCUUGACGGGAAAAUUCAAAAUCGCGAACCGUUACUGCCUGGACUGUCUCUUUGUUUGUUUGCUCAUCAACAGUAAGGUAAGUUUGAUUUAAUUAGUUUGUCUGCAUCGCGCUGAUCGGUUGCCUAUUUGUUCAUAUUAUGUUAUUUACUAUGAUUCGUUUUUGUCUUUAAACUAGAACUGUUUGAAUUUAAAGCACAAACAGUAAAACAUUAAGGUUAUACGUGGUACACAGCGGUAAACACGAGGUUAAAAUACUCGAAGUAACAUUCAAACGGGGCUGUUAAAAGAAUCAAUUCGAUGUUUAAAUUUUUAAAAACAAAACUUUAAAGAAGCCAAGAUUCUUUGCUUAAAACAAACAAAACAACAGUAUCUUGUGUGUUGGAAAUGUUAGCAGCUAGCAAGUGUCUCUCUGCUAUUUUAAAUGAUACAGACGAUCUUUUGUUGUUUAAAAGGUCAUUGCUUUAGUGCUGGUAGAUGCUGCUUAUUUUUCAAGACGGUUUUAAUAGCUUUAUAUUGAUUUGUAACAAAGCCAGCUUCACUUUGAGAGAACCUAGAUGCUAAUUGUAAAGAAGCUUGGAGUCAUAAUAUAUUUUAACGUAAUAUGUUUGCUGUUCUUCAUCUUUUUAAAUAUGAAGUCUAUCCAUGUUUGUGUUUACAGAGGUCAUGUACACUGUGGUCAACUUUGUGGACGCUGAAGAGGUUUCUGGGUAAAGAUGAUAGAAAUAAUGAAGUAACAGUGGAAGCUAAAACUUCAGACUGAUCCAGACACUGAAGAAAUUGAUGUCACUGCAAUCUGGCCAAAAUGAUACAACUAUAUUGAAGUAGCUUACUGUAAUAAAGCUGCAGAACGUCACAGGGACUCUGAGGACAUCAACACAGAAAAUGAAGGCUCCAAAGAGAUGUCUGUCCAGAUGAGGGUGCAUCAACGUUACCUUUGCUGACAAGUAUAUGCUUUACAAUGUAAAACCUAACAGUUAACUUAACUCAAACCAUUUAAGGAAAUCGGUUGCCUUAAACCAUUAAGUUUUAAAAAACAUACAUUUGAGUACUGUGAACUUAAGUCUUGUGCAAUUAUGCACUUAUAUUUAGGUAGUGUGAACUUAAACAAAUUGAGUCACAUGCAGUUAUGCACUUAUAUUUAAGUUCACACUACCUAAAUAUAAGUGCAUAAUUGCACAAGACUUAAGUUCACAGUACUCAAAUCUAUGUGUUUUAAAACUUGAAUGGUUUAAUGCAACCGGUUUUCUUAAAUGUGAGAAAUGUUUGAGUAAUUCCAAGACAGAGCUCUGUAAUUGAUUCUACACUGCAAAAAAUCACUUUCUAACUUAGGAUUUUUAUCUUGUUUUUAGUAGGAAAAACUAAAAAUUCUUAAAUCAAGAUGUAUUUUCUUGAUGAGCAAAUUACCUAAGAAAAUAUGUCUAGUUUUUAG